rnacentral:rRNA from 1 species
UGCUAUUGGAGUGCGNCUAAGCCAUGUGAGUCGAGGGGUUCUUCGGAACACCGACGUACGGCUCAGUAACAUGUGGGUAACCUACCCUUAGGAGGGGGAUAACCUCGGGAAACUGAGGCUAAUACCCCAUAGAUAAGAAAUACUGGAAUGUUUUUUUAUUGAAAGCUCCGGCGCCUAAGGAUGGGCCUGCAUCCGAUUAGGUUGUUGGUGAGGUAAUGGCUCACCAAGCCGACGAUAGGUACGGGACGUGAGAGCGAAAGCCCGGAGAUGGGAACUGAGACAAGGUCCCAGGCCCUACGGGGCGCAGCAGGCGCGAAAUCUCUGCAAUGUGUGAAAGCAUGACAGGGGUACUCCAAGUGUUCUCGCAUUGCAAGGACUUUUCCUUGGUCCAAGACGCCAAGGGUAAUAAGGACUGGGAAAGACCGGUGCCAGCCGCCGCGGUAACACCGGCAGUUCAAGUGGUGGCCGAUAUUAUUGGGCCUAAAGCGUUCGUAGCCAGGCAGGUAAGUGUUCUGAUAAAUCCCAUAACUUAAUUAUGGGGCUUUAGGAUAUACUACUUGUCUUGAGACCGGGGAGGGCUGGAGGUACUUUUGGGGUAGGGGUAAAAUCCUAUAAUCCCGAAGGGACCACCGGUGGCGAAGGCGUCCAGCUGGAACGGAUCUGACGGUGAGGAACGAAACCCAGGGUAGCGAGUCGGAUUAGAUACCCGGGUAGUCCUGGGUGUAAAUGAUGUGGGUUAGGUGCGAGGUUAUCUACGUGGUAGCUUGGUGCCNAAGGNANCCGUUAAACCCNCGCCUGGGGAGUAUGGCCCCAGGCUAAACUUAAGGAAUGGNNGGGGAGCCCNCAGGGGNGGAGCUGCGNUUAUUGGNUUCAACNCCG